UACGGAGGAUCCAAGCGUUAUCCGGAAUCAUUGGGUUUAAAGGGUGUGUAGGCGGGCAUUUAAGUAAGAGGUGAAAUCUCCGGGCUCAACCCGGAAACUGCCUUUGAUACUAUUUGUCUUGCAUUUCGUUGAGGUUGGCGGAAUAGAUCAUGUAGCGGUGAAAUGCAUAGAUCUGAUAUAGAACACCGAUUGCGAAGGCAGCUGGCUGAACGAACAUUGACGCUGAGGCACGAAAGCGUGGGUAGCGAACUGG
rnacentral:misc_RNA from 1 species